CUGGUGGAGCAGCAGAAGUUCCAGCUGGACAGUUGGUGAAACAGAGCUGUUUGACUUCAGCAGACAGAAACACAGACACAAGUGAAUUUGUCUCUGAUGUUUCCAGCAGAGUGACAUCAUGGCGACAGCAGCACCAGGUGAUGAUGAGUUGAAGGACAGAAGCAGUCCAGACCUUGGUCGACCUAACU